CCCUUAGAUGUUCUGGGCCGCACGCGCGCUACACUGGUUCGUUCAACAAGUCUGAUUUCCCUGCGUACGAAAGGCGUGGGUAAUCUUUUAAAAGCGAACCGUGCUUGGGAUAGAUUUUUGCAAUUUUAAAUCUUCAACGAGGAAUCCCUUGUAUUUGCAAGUCAUCAACUUGCAGAGAAUACCGUCCCUGCUCUUUGUACACACCGCCCGUCGCACCUACCGAUUGAGAGCAUAGGUGAAAACUCAGGAUCGACUCUUUCGCACCCUCGGGUAGCGUUUUCGUUGAGAAUUUGUUUAAACCUCCGUUCUUAGAGGAAGGUGAAGUCGUAACA
rnacentral:rRNA from 1 species